CAGCCCUUGACAUGCCCGGUAUGGGUGGGGGAGACCUCAUUCUUCAGUUCGGCUGGCCGGGACACAGGUGCUGCAUGGCUGUCGUCAGCUCGUGUCGUGAGAUGUUGGGUUAAGUCCCGCAACGAGCGCAACCCUCAUCUGCAGUUGCCAGCGGAUAAUGCCGGGCACUCUGCAGAAACUGCCGGUGACAAGCCGGAGGAAGGCGGGGAUGACGUCAAGUCCUCAUGGCCCUUAUGGGCUGGGCUACACACGUGCUACAAUGGCGGUGACAGAGGGCGGCAAUGGGGCGACCCCGAGCCAAUCUCGAAAAGCCGUCUCAGUUCGGAUUGCUCUCUGCAACUCGAGAGCAUGAAGUCGGAAUCGCUAGUAAUCGCGGAUCAGCAUGCCGCGGUGAAUACGUUCCC
rnacentral:rRNA from 1 species